rnacentral:rRNA from 1 species
GACGUAGGGCGCGAGCGUUGUCCGGAUUUAUUGGGCGUAAAGAGCUCGUAGGCGGCUUGUCGCGUCGACCGUGAAAACUUGGGGCUCAACCCCAAGCCUGCGGUCGAUACGGGCAGGCUCGAGUUCGGUAGGGGAGACUGGAAUUCCUGGUGUAGCGGUGAAAUGCGUAGAUAUCAAGAGGAACACCUGAGGUGAAGACGGGUUGCUGGGCUGACACUGACGCUGAGGCGCGAAAGCUAGGGUAGCAAACGGG